rnacentral:rRNA from 1 species
GACGAACGCUGGCGGCGUGCUUAACACAUGCAAGUCGAACGGUGAAGCGCCUUCCUUUUUGGUGGGUGUGGAUGAGUGGCGAACGGGUGAGUAACACGUGAGUAACCUGCCCCCUUCUUCUGGAUAACCGCAUGAAAGUGUGGCUAAUACGGGAUAUUCUGGGUCUGUCGCAUGAUGGGUCUGGGAAAGAUAUUGUUUCGGUGGGGGAUGGGCUCGCGGCCUAUCAGCUUGUUGGUGGGGUGAUGGCCUACCAAGGCGGUGACGGGUAGCCGGCCUGAGAGGGUGGACGGUCACACUGGGACUGAGACACGGACCAGACUACUACGGGAGGCAGCAGUGGGGAAUAUUGCACAAUGGGCGCAAGCCUGAUGCAGCGACGCCGCGUGAGGGAUGGAGGCCUUCGGGUUGUGAACCUCUUUCGCCAGUGAAGCAGGCCUGCCUCGUUUGUGGGUGGGUUGACGGUAGCUGGAUAAGAAGCGCCGGCUAACUACGU